rnacentral:lncRNA from 1 species
GUAACUGUUGUCAUUUUAUUUAGUAGUACUAAAAUGUCACUGAAAGCCUUCACUCAGCUACCUGAGUCUGUCAGUUGGUAACAGCUACUCUUCAACAUUAGACCCAUAAUUAUGAUUAGCAAUAAGAGGUUCUUUUGUGAGAUGUGCAGAGAGGUAUUUAUUUCCCUGACCCUGUUGCCAUUUUAUUUCAAUUCUUACAUAGUAAUACUUAGAAGAAGAGUGUUUUAGGGGACAUCAGCUCCUUUUUCAAAGGAUGGAUGUGAUUCAUCAUUUAACAGUUAUACUUGAGACUUCCCAUUCCAGGUAUUAUUUAAUAAAAAAACCUACUAGCUUCUUGACAGAGGUAUCUGAUAGCUGACCAUGGUUAUGAGACUACUUUGUUUUGCAAGGCAUAACCAGGGAAGUGCUUUAAGAACAUUUAUGUCUUACCAUGAUGCAAGGCCCUGCAUAGUUAGAAAUCUAUUCAACUUCAUAUUAAUAGAUUCCAGAUUAGGACAUGCAAAUUGAGUAAUUAAUAAAGCCUCCACACUUGUUCUAAAUUUUAGCUUCUUCUACUUGAUACCUAAAUCUCAUUUGAAGUACUAGCUUUUUUUUUUCUAGAGGUUUGCUGUACAUGAGACAUCAACAGAAGAAAUUAGCAGUUAGCAGAUUCCCUUUUAGCAUUCACCAAAGAAGUGGUCUAUCAUCAAAUUGUACACAUCUGGCAAUACUGUGCUGCAGUGACAAUCUUACAAUCCCACAAUUGUAAGAUUGUGGGAAGAAUUUCUUUUUUCUGAUCACUAGUACAUUUAAAAACCUUUCAAUUGCUUAUUGUUAGUCUCCUUUGCUACCUUGGAGUUAUGACAGAUAUCAAAGCUUUUUUAGAGCAAAAUGGAGAAAGCACCAUGUAAAAUACAGAUUGGAACUGAGUUAGUCCUAAUUAACUAAUCUUGUUCCAGAACAGAGGAAGACUUAUUUCUGUUGCAAGGGAAAAAUAGCUAGCUGAUGCCUUGCCUGUUUUAACUCAUAGCCAUGAACUGUGGCUAAGUCACAUAGUAGAAUGCUGUCCUAGGCAUUUCAGGACUCUAACCUAUUAGUAGUUUUAUAUUGGGACUUCCUGUUUUCCCUUCUCAUUACCCCCACCCUAUAACAAAUGAAGCUAUAAACCAAUUUAAUUUCUGUGCACAAUUCUGCUUGCAGCUUUUUCAUUUUGGAAUUGCUGAGGUAGAACAUUACCCUAACCUACAUCCCCUGCUCUCUAAUUUUUCAUUGCAGUAAGACAAUAGAUAGAUGUAUUUCAUCCAUCUAUUCCACCAGCAUUUAGACACUGCAUUGCUUCAAGCACAGCAAAGGUGAAUUAGCAACUGCAGGUCAUUGUAUGGUGUGAACAGUGAGUUGUUUCACCAUGCAGCCUUCAGAAAGACAAGUUCUGCUAGUAGCUGUAGAAGUAGUGUGUACUUCAGUUCAUAGUACAGUUACUGCUCUGCUAAAAAGCUGUCUUUCAUCAAGGAGUAGACAAGCUUGAAUUUACCACUUAUUGUCUUUAAAGUGUGGAAAAGGAAUGAAAUCUCAAAAUCAGAGGACAGAGUUGAACAAACAUUCCAGAAAGGAGAUAUGGUCAAUCAAAACUGAAAUUGAAAAAUCCAGAAAAUUUGAAAUGGAGUGACUACAAACAAUUGUACUGAGAUGAAAUUUGGUGUAGGGAAAUAGACCAAAACUUGCUAAAAUUAUUCCCUUUGAAAUACCUAAAAUCGGGAAAGAAAGGGGAAAAAAAUGAAGAGAAACAGAAGAAUUGAAAUUGCAGGGAAAAAAAACGAAUGCGACUCCCAUGGGACAUGUGCUGCCUCCUCAUAAUAGUAUGUAAGCAGGCUGUUCCUAGUUACUGGUAGAUAUUAAAUAGUACAUUAGAAGUACGUCUUUCAAGCAAUUCCCAGGUAUGCUAGUCUUUCUUGCAGCUCAGAACUGUUGCAAGUCAACAGAAGUCUCUACUUCCUCCCAUACCUCCCCCCCCUUAAGAGUGUUUUGGGAAUCUGAGGCUGUGGCAUGAGAGAAAAUACAAUUUAAAUUGCCUCACAAAUGAAAUUGCAUUUGCAGUAGGUUAAAUCACUUCAUUUCAUCUAGUGAACUAGUUAUUUGCUAGGCAUCUGCUACCAGUACUUAACUAGAAAGUUUUAACUUAUUUUACUUUGUUCCUUUAUCAUCCUCCCAUGUAUGUCAUGGUCUUUCAAAGAAGAAAUGGACACAGUUCAUAGUCUGCAUUUAGGAGAUGAUUAUGCAGGGAUCAAAAUCAGAGUGUUAAAGAUCACAAUAUUCCUCUCCUCCCAACCACACCUAUUAUUUUUUUAACACUGGGAUUUCUGUGAAAUAAAAAUAGAUUAGGAACUUCCUAGUUGCAUAGUAGCAACUAGUUCUGCCAAGUUUUUCAAGGACAGGAAACUAAACA